rnacentral:rRNA from 1 species
GACGAACGCUGGCGGCGUGCUUAACACAUGCAAGUCGAACGGAAAGGCCCCUUUGGGGGUACUCGAGUUGCGAACGGGUGAGUAACACGUGAGUAACCUGCCCUUGACUUCGGGAUAACUUCAGGAAACUGGGGCUAAUACCGGAUAGGAAUCCUUGCUGCAUGGUGGGGGUUGGAAAGCUUCGGCGGUUUUGGAUGGACUCGCGGCUUAUCAGCUUGUUGGUGGGGUAGUGGCUUACCAAGGCUUUGACGGGUAGCCGGCCUGAGAGGGCGACCGGCCACAUUGGGACUGAGAUACGGCCCAGACUCCUACGGGAGGCAGCAGUGGGGAAUAUUGCACAAUGGGCGGAAGCCUGAUGCAGCAACGCCGCGUGCGGGAUGACGGCCUUCGGGUUGUAAACCGCUUUCAGCAGGGGCGAAGCUUGUGGUGACGGUACCUGCAGAAGAAGCACCGGCUAACUACGU